rnacentral:rRNA from 1 species
CCUACGGGGGGCAGCAGUGAGGAAUAUUGGUCAAUGGGCGGGAGCCUGAACCAGCCAAGUCGCGUGAGGGACGACGGCCCUAUGGAUUGUAAACCUCUUUUGUCGGGGAAUAAAGUCGCCCACGGGUGGGCGUAUGAGUGUACCCGAAGAAAAAGCAUCGGCUAACUCCGUGCCAGCAGCCGCGGUAAUACGGAGGAUGCGAGCGUUAUCCGGAUUUAUUGGGUUUAAAGGGUGCGUAGGCGGACGGUCAAGUCAGCGGUAAAAGUGCGGUGCUCAACGCCGUACUGCCGUUGAAACUGGCAGUCUUGAGUGGGCGAGAAGUAUGCGGAAUGCGUGGUGUAGCGGUGAAAUGCAUAGAUAUCACGAAGAACUCCGAUUGCGAAGGCAGCAUACCGGCGCCCGACUGACGCUGAGGCACGAAAGCGUGGGUAUCGAACAGGAUUAGAUACCCGUGUAGUC